UCCUCCCUCUGGCGGCGUGCUUAACACAUGCAAGUCGAACGGAAAGGCCCUGCUUUUGUGGGGUGCUCGAGUGGAGAACGGGUGAGUAACACGUGAGUAACCUGCCCUUGACUUUGGGAUAACUUCAGGAAACUGGGGCUAAUACCGGAUAGGAGCUCCUGCUGCAUGGUGGGGGUUGGAAAGUUUCGGCGGUUGGGGAUGGACUCGCGGCUUAUCAGCUUGUUGGUGGGGUAGUGGCUUACCAAGGCUUUGACGGGUAGCCGGCCUGAGAGGGUGACCGGCCACAUUGGGACUGAGAUACGGCCCAGACUCCUACGGGAGGCAGCAGUGGGGAAUAUUGCACAAUGGGCGGAAGCCUGAUGCAGCAACGCCGCGUGCGGGAUGACGGCCUUCGGGUUGUAAACCGCUUUCGCCUGUGACGAAGCGUGAGUGACGGUAAUGGGUAAAGAAGCACCGGCUAACUACGUG
rnacentral:rRNA from 1 species